rnacentral:rRNA from 1 species
UACGUAGGGGGCAAGCGUUGUCCGGAUUUAUUGGGCGUAAAGCGCUCGCAGGUGGUUCGGUACGUCCGGCGUGAAAGCCCCCGGCUCAACUGGGGAGGGUCGUGCGAUACGGUGGAGCUGGAGGCCAGUAGGGGGAUGCGGAAUUCCGGGUGUAGUGGUGGAAUGCGUAGAGAUCCGGAGGAACACCAGCGGCGAAGGCGGCAUCCUGGACUGGGCCUGACGCUGAUGAGCGAAAGCGUGGGGAGCGAGCGGG